AUCUCUCUCUCUCUCUCUCAAAGUUACCAAACUUACAGAUCACUAAAAAAAACUAACUUAACUUCCAAUUUACUUCCAAUAUCCUAAAUCUAAAGACCAAACUAAAGAAACCCAACACGAAAAAAUCGAAUCUUUACACUAAUUUAGAACACAUUUUCACUUGAAAGUAAAGCAAAACAAAACAAAAAGUGAACUUUUUUUAGAAGGAAGACACGAGCUUUCUCAAAGAAACCGCCAUUGUCGAGGAACGGAGCUCAAGACCCACUACAAAUUAACGGAGGGAAAGAGAAACCCAGCAGCAGAGAGAGAGAGAGAAUGGUAGAUUUUGGAGAUCGAGAGAGAGAAGAAAGUGUUGGAAGGAGUGGCAUGGAGUGUAAUUAUUGAUCUUGAAGAAGGGUAAAAUUGGAAAAUAGUUUAUUAUUUUAAAAUUAAGAUUUGUUGAGGGGACGGGACAUCUCUGGACCGAUGCUCUGCUACCUAAUGUGCUCUCAAUUGUUUCUAUCGCUUCAAUCCUAAGAUUCAUUUCUAACAAUUCUACAAUACCUUAAGAUUUAAAUUAUAUUCUUCAUAACUAGUCUGUUUAAAUAAUCUUAUGUAGCACAGAAAUAAACAAGGCUUUUUGCUACUUAAAUGUCUUGUAAGAUUUAUGCUAUUGUUUCAUUUUUUGGAGGAGCCAAUGUUACAAUUUGUGGAAUGGAUUAGCCAAUGUUACAACUUACAACAGAUGUGCUUGUGUUCCCUUCCCUACCUAGGAUUUUGUGGUCUUGCUGACCUAAUAAAUAAGAAAUUCUAUGAAGAAAAUUAAUGAUCCUCAUAACUUUCCUAAUCUGUGAUGAAUGUAACAUAACUCAAUGGUCCAGUGAGCCCAGCCUUGGUCCAAGAUAUCCAAACUACGUACACAUUCUGUCUAAGCCCAUCUGGUCCAGAGUAUUCUUGGUUACUGUUUAUUUGAUUUUGUGGGUUCAUCUUUUUGAACCAACAAACUUUUUUCUAUUCAGAUUGUAAUAGUUUUUGAACCACCAAACUCACGCAUUAUGUUUGUUCGAAUUAAAAGAACAUGAUCUUUAGUCAAUAGAAAACAAUUGUUAUAAAUGAUCGCUUUACAUGUCAUACCAAAUUGCAUCACCACCACGUGACGACUUUAUUCCAAGUUGCAAAAUCUAACACAGCCUUCAAUAAUGUCGUUGAUCAUGCAAGAAGAGCUUUCAAAUAGCAUAAA